CGACGGGUGAGUAACACGUAAGGUAAUGUGCCUUUGGGUGGGGAAUAACUUAGGGAAACUUAAGCUAAUACCGCAUAAUGCGAUAACUUCUUCGGAAGAUUUUGUUAAAGAUUUAUCGCCUGAAGAGCAGCCUGCGGCAGAUUAGCUAGUUGGUAAGGUAACGGCUUACCAAGGCUACGAUCUGUAUCCGACCUGAGAGGGUGGUCGGACACACUGACACUGAAUAACGGGUCAG
rnacentral:rRNA from 1 species